GAAAAAGAGAGGGAAGGAAGAAGAAGAAAAUGGAGUUGCUUCUGAAUAAAGUCUUAGUUUAAACCAACAUAAGACUACUUCAUGAUUACAAGGGAAGCCGCUGUAAAAUUGCAGCAGCAGUCCACAAAGGAGCACGUGUGGCGCCCCCUCCCCCACGAGCGGUCCUGGCGCCCCCCCCCAUUGCUCGGCUCCGGCUGGCUGGGCGCCACAGCGGCGCGGGUGCCUAAAGUUUGCUGCUUCGCCUUCGUCACCAAAGGCAUGGUCUGUCUCUUCGUUGGACCUCUUCCUGGUUUGAGGCUGGGCUCACGCCCUGCCCCGCCCCACCACCAAGUCGCGCAUGCGUGUCCUCUUCGUCUCCUGCACGUGGAAUUUGUCUGGUGCGGCGCUGGUGAUGAGACAGGGUGGGAGAACGUUUUGUUUUGCUGCUGCUGGGGCUGUGUGUGCGCAGUAGCGCAGGACAAGGAGGAAGAAGGAUUCGGAACAGGCAUCAAAUGUAAUGCAAGUGGACAAGCAGAACUGAAAUAGCCAUACAGAGGCUUUUAGGCCAGUUUUCUUUCCAGCCUGUGGAUGUGGCAUGCCAGAACCCAACACACAUCCCCACUUCUCCUAAACCUUUCCUCCAGCCCACUGAGAAAAGCAUGCAAAAAAUAAAUAAAUCCAGGAGUAUAUUAUAAAACCAGGUUGCAACAGUGUCAGUUGUCUCUAUGUUGCCAGAACCAGACUAGCAAGAGGAAACUUGCUAAGAGGAAUUUCUGAUUGGUACUUCAUGAAAUUCUGUCAAUGAUGAUGAAGAAUCCAAGGCUGGGCUCCAUGUCCAGGGAAUCCAAGACAGAUUUACCUGAUGUCAUAGGGCCAAGGUUAAGAACACAAGAACAGCCCAACUAGAUCAACCCAAGACCUAUAUAGUCCACCAUCCUGUUUCCCACAAUGAUCAAUCAUAUGUCUCUGAGAAGCCCACAAGCAGGAGAUGUAGACAUGCCCCCCUCUUCUGAAGUUCCCCUACAGCUGGUAUUCACAGGCAUACUGCUCUGAACCAAUGAUGUCUCAAGAGAAGAUCUUGCCUUGCAGAUGCAGAAACUGAGCAGUGAGAUUCAUGCCAAACCUGAAAAGAUUGACAAUGCAAAAGCUCCAGGUGUUUUACCCUCAAUAGGAGAUUUCCUCAACAUCAGUUAGAUAGGAAACCACCAGUUAGAUAGGAAAAGUCCAGGAUACCAUGGCUAACUGAUAACCUUAUCUGAACCUUAUCUGAUCUGGGCUCCUUGGAGUAAG